CUAUUAAGUGGCCGAAAUAUUUAAGCACUAGACUUUUAAUCUAGAUAAUGAUUCUUUAUAAUCCUUAAUGGU
rnacentral:tRNA from 1 species